GACGAACGCUGGCGGCGUGCCUAACACAUGCAAGUCGAGCGGUAAGGCCCUUUCGGGGGUACACGAGCGGCGAACGGGUGAGUAACACGUGGGUGACCUGCCCUCAGCUCUGGGAUAAGCCUGGGAAACCGGGUCUAAUACUGGAUAUGACUCCAUGACGCAUGUUGUGGGGUGGAAAGCCUUGUGCGGCUGAGGAUGGGGCCCGCGGCCUAUCAGCUUGUUGGUGGGGUGAGGCCUACCAAGGCGACGACGGGUAGCCGGCCUGAGAGGGCGACCGGCCACACUGGGACUGAGACACGGCCCAGACUCCUACGGGAGGCAGCAGUGGGGAAUCUUGCGCAAUGGGACGAAAGCCUGACGCAGCGACGCCGCGUGAGGG
rnacentral:rRNA from 1 species